rfam:Myotis lucifugus cont2.16334, whole genome shotgun sequence.
GGCAGUUCUCAGGUGACGCACCCUGGAAUCAGGCUCCCUCCUCUGUGGUUCUGGGUGCAUCACCCAAGAACCACA